UUAUAUAUUGUUUUAUUUACGUUUUCUACAUUAAUGGUUUUAUUUUGAAAAACUGAAGUUUAUUUUGACGGAUAACAGGAAGUAGUAUGCAGAGACACAGAUAGUUUCACCUUUCUCAUUGUCGCAUGGAGCACUGCUUCUACUUGCACGUGUUAAUUGAAAAAGUUAGAAACAAGUAUGAAACCAGAAUCUAAUGUCUUGAAAAUGACAAAUGUGUGAGUUGAUGAUUUUGUAUGAUAUGGCUCCUGUUUAGAGGUGGAAGAACCGUCGAUGAAGCACUUUUAUUUUUCUUUAAUCACUUCUGAGAUAAUCCUUCUUGGUCAGGUCUUUUUUUGAGAACUUGGAAAAAACUUGCUUCCAGCCUUGGACAAGCAACAAGGUUGAUGCCGAGAUGAUCCAUUGAUGGCGAGCCUCCCAGUUGAAUCCUGAGCUUUGACCACCCAUUCAACGGAUCCUGUGGUAGGAUUGUGUCAGUCCCAUUGACCGACACCAACAAGAGCCUACUGUGGAUACAUUCACUGACUUUUGACUAUUUCCCCCGACUUACUGACUUGAACAUUGAUCCACGUCGCAAAGGAACAUUUUCCGUAAGGAACAAAGGACAGUUUAUUUUAUUGCUUAUUUGGGCCCAUAGGUUGUAUUGUGCAGUAUUGUAAUAUUGCUCAACUAAAGUUACAUUUAAUUACAA